UAACCUGCCCAGAAGUAGGGGAUAACACCUGGAAACAGAUGCUAAUACCGUAUAACAGAGAAAACCGCAUGGUUUUCUUUUAAAAGAUGGCUCUGCUAUCACUUCUGGAUGGACCCGCGGCGUAUUAGCUAGUUGGUGAGGUAAAGGCUCACCAAGGCAGUGAUACGUAGCCGACCUGAGAGGGUAAUCGGCCACAUUGGGACUGAGACACGGCCCAGACUCCUACGGGAGGCAGCAGUAGGGAAUCUUCCACAAUGGACGCAAGUCUGAUGGAGCAACGCCGCGUGAGUGAAGAAGGGUUUCGGCUCGUAAAGCUCUGUUGUUAAAGAAGAACGUGGGUAAGAGUAACUGUUUACCCAGUGACGGUAUUUAACCAGAAAGCCACGGCUAACUACGUGCCAGCAGCCGCGGUAAUACGUAGGUGGCAAGCGUUAUCCGGAUUUAU
rnacentral:rRNA from 1 species